CUCUGCAGUGCACAGUGAUAUGUGGCUGAAUCCUCUACCUUCAAGUCAUUGAUAGUCAGAUCAGUAGUGUUUGAAUCCACCUGAGUUGUAAAUCUCUUCUCAGCGAAAGGAGCAGUAUUAGAUGCAGAGCCUUGGUUAGCUUUAUAUAGAAUGUAAUCUAGAGCUCUAUUUGGAUAAUGACGAUACCAAUACAGAUAAUAAGCUGAAGAAUAUUU